rnacentral:rRNA from 1 species
AUUGAACGCUGGCGGCAGGCCUAACACAUGCAAGUCGAGCGGUAGCACAGAGAGCUUGCUCUCGGGUGACGAGCGGCGGACGGGUGAGUAAUGUCUGGGAAACUGCCUGAUGGAGGGGGAUAACUACUGGAAACGGUAGCUAAUACCGCAUAACGUCGCAAGACCAAAGUGGGGGACCUUCGGGCCUCAUGCCAUCAGAUGUGCCCAGAUGGGAUUAGCUAGUAGGUGGGGUAACGGCUCACCUAGGCGACGAUCCCUAGCUGGUCUGAGAGGAUGACCAGCCACACUGGAACUGAGACACGGUCCAGACUCCUACGGGAGGCAGCAGUGGGGAAUAUUGCACAAUGGGCGCAAGCCUGAUGCAGCCAUGCCGCGUGUGUGAAGAAGGCCUUCGGGUUGUAAAGCACUUUCAGCGGGGAGGAAGGCGUUAAGGUUAAUAACCUUGGCGAUUGACGUUACCCGCAGAAGAAGCACCGGCUAACUCCGUGCCAGCAGCCGCGGUAAUACGGAGGGUGCAAGCGUUAAUCGGAAUUACUGGGCGUAAAGCGCACGCAGGCGGUCUGUCAAGUCGGAUGUGAAAUCCCCGGGCUCAACCUGGGAACUGCGUUCGAAACUGGCAGGCUAGAGUCUUGUAGAGGGGGGUAGAAUUCCAGGUGUAGCGGUGAAAUGCGUAGAGAUCUGGAGGAAUACCGGUGGCGAAGGCGGCCCCCUGGACAAAGACUGACGCUCAGGUGCGAAAGCGUGGGGAGCAAACAGGAUUAGAUACCCUGGUAGUCCACGCCGUAAACGAUGUCGAUUUGGAGGUUGUGCCCUUGAGGCGUGGCUUCCGGAGCUAACGCGUUAAAUCGACCGCCUGGGGAGUACGGCCGCAAGGUUAAAACUCAAAUGAAUUGACGGGGGCCCGCACAAGCGGUGGAGCAUGUGGUUUAAUUCGAUGCAACGCGAAGAACCUUACCUGGUCUUGACAUCCACAGAACUUAGCAGAGAUGCUUUGGUGCCUUCGGGAACUGUGAGACAGGUGCUGCAUGGCUGUCGUCAGCUCGUGUUGUGAAAUGUUGGGUUAAGUCCCGCAACGAGCGCAACCCUUAUCCUUUGUUGCCAGCGGUCCGGCCGGGAACUCAAAGGAGACUGCCAGUGAUAAACUGGAGGAAGGUGGGGAUGACGUCAAGUCAUCAUGGCCCUUACGACCAGGGCUACACACGUGCUACAAUGGCAUAUACAAAGAGAAGCGACCUCGCGAGAGCAAGCGGACCUCAUAAAGUAUGUCGUAGUCCGGAUUGGAGUCUGCAACUCGACUCCAUGAAGUCGGAAUCGCUAGUAAUCGUAGAUCAGAAUGCUACGGUGAAUACGUUCCCGGGCCU